UGACACAGCUGUGCUCCUGUACAAGACGGGACCAGGGAUCAGUCCUCCUGGUUCAACUUGAGGGCAUCAUGGAAGAAAGCCAACCUCUCUCAGGCCUAACUCUGAGAGGCCACAUGUCUGGGUCUUCCGUGUGUGUGUGUGUGUGUGUGUGUGUGUGUGUCUGUCUGUCUGUCUGUCUGUCUGUCUGUCUGUGUAAGAGUGUGACCCAGAACAGCCCUCCUGAACUCUGAGGCUUCCAGUGCUCACCCACUGACCUACAGAGUGUUUGGGGGCUGGAGGAAGUGUCUGAGGCUGUCAGUGCCUUGGGCUUGAUGGGUGGUGGGGAGGAGGAGAUUUGAGCCCCGCUUAAUCCUCACUGUUUUCUGCAGGAAGAACUGGAAGAGCCAGAAGGUCUCAUGGUCGUGCUCCACCAUCAGCUGGAAAAGCAUCACCAUCUCAUGGAAGCCUCGCUGGUACUCUGCAGGGAAGGGCUCCGGCUGAAGAGAGGAGGCUCUUGAAGUACCACACUGCAGAGAGACCUGAGCUGCUGGACAGAAUCCACCCGCGCUGGCCAGAGCUGCCCCCAUCUCUCUCUUAAUACCUGAAUGUGUAGACACGGGACUCUAAAUGAAAAAUGUAUUGAAAUCACUGGAGGGUCUUCUGGUUCUGAAAGUUUGGGGAAACAGCCUACAGAGACGAGUUCCUAACAGUUUCCUGGAUGGCUGAGGCUGGAGUGAGGAGCCAGGGGUCAGGAAGUAGGGAAACAUUUGACUUUAAAAGCCACAGUGAGCCAUUGACUACAGGCAGGUCAGUUUCCCUAUCUGCAGGUCAGGUGGGCUACGAGCUCCCUUUGUUUGUCAGUGGUGUGUGUGUGUGUGUGUGUGUGUGUGUGAUAUGCGUGUGUGCACAUAUUAUGAGUACACAUGAAGGCCUGAGAUUGAUGCUGGGAAUCACCUUUGAUUGCCUGCUUGACCUUACUCAAUGAGGCAAGGUCUCUCAACCAAACUUAGAGCUCACUGAUAUGGCUAAAUUCCCCUAGUCAGUUUGCCCCUGGCAUCCUCUUAUCUCUGCCUUCUGGGACUGGGAUUAUAGGGGAAUGACCAUACCCACCCAACAUUUCACAUGGGUUCUGGGAUUCAAACUCUGUCGUCAUGUUUACAAGAAAAGAACUUCAGUGCUGAGCCAUCUCCCUAGACCGAACAUCCCUCUUUAAUAACUCACACACGCUUUAUCUGCUGGAUCAACCCUGAGAAACGGGGCACUAGGAGUUACAGGUAACUUUGAGAAGUAAGGUCUCCUUGAUGCUGGCAAUCAGCUCCACGUUUGGGCCUUCACGAAUCGAUGAGGAGGACUGGUCAGCCUGCUUGCCUGAGUCUGGAGAGCAGCUGACUGGAUUUGAAGUCUCCAAGAUCUAUUUCUCACUCAUCAAAUGAUAAUAGCCUGAUCACAUCCCAUCUCAAAGGGCUGGGAUGAGAAGGAGUGACUAUAAACAAAGCAUUUACAAUACCAUCUGUACACAUCGACUGCUGUGUGGCAGCUUAUUCAUUAUUAUUAGUAUUAGCCUUCUCUAAAUUUGGAGAAUGGGAGAAAUAUAGAAAAAAAAUCCAAAGCUUGGUGAUCAUCUGCAAUAAACGUGUAACGUUUAAACCCCAA